CUCUGGAACAACUUUUUCAUGAAUUUUGUCCCCUUUUUCCAUAGAAUUUCAGUUCAACUUUUGAUGUUGAUUAUUUUUAUUUUCUAGGAAAAUGUUGGAUGCUUUAGAAUUAUCCCUUCACUGUACAGCUUUGUUGAUGAGAUGUAUAAGAAAGGAUACCACUGUCAGUAUGGAGGGAAAUGAACUUGAUGCUUAGAAGGAGGCGGAGAUGUCAGAUUCCUCUUCACCUCCAAGUCACCAUGACAACGAACAGCAACAUGAAAGAGGAGACAUCUUUGUUUUUUCUCCGACAUCAGAUGUGAAAGCUGCCAGGUUAAAAAGUUGACACAGUUCCUGCAGAAUUACAGACAGCUAUGGAAUCUGAAAGAUUGUGGAAGACUACGAGUGAUUCUAUUGUAUCUCAGGAAAUGCAUCGGACCACACAGGAGUCCAUACUGGAAGAAGGUCAAAGGGAGGAGGCCAAACACUGAAAGGCCCUGAUGAUUGCAUUGGUACCUUAGUUGUUCCAGAGACUCAGUUGCAGGU
rnacentral:lncRNA from 1 species